CCUACGGGGGGCAGCAGUGGGGAAUAUUGGACAAUGGGGGGAACCCUGAUCCAGCCAUGCCGCGUGUGUGAAGAAGGCCCUCGGGUUGUAAAGCACUUUCAGUGAGGAAGAACGCCUGGUGGUUAAUACCCAUCAGGAAAGACAUCACUCACAGAAGAAGCACCGGCUAACUCCGUGCCAGCAGCCGCGGUAAUACGGAGGGUGCGAGCGUUAAUCGGAAUUACUGGGCGUAAAGCGCGCGUAGGUGGCUUGAUAAGCCGGUUGUGAAAGCCCCGGGCUCAACCCGGGAACGGCAUCCGGAACUGUCAAGCUAGAGUGCAGGAGAGGAAGGUAGAAUUCCCGGUGUAGCGGUGAAAUGCGUAGAGAUCGGGAGGAAUACCAGUGGCGAAGGCGGCCUUCUGGACUGACACUGACACUGAGGUGCGAAAGCGUGGGUAGCAAACAGGAUUAGAUACCCCAGUAGUC
rnacentral:rRNA from 1 species